rnacentral:rRNA from 1 species
UACGGGAGGCAGCAGGGGGAAGUAUUGCACAAUGGGCGCAAGCCUGAUGCAGCCAUGCCGCGUGUAUGAAGAAGGCCUUCGGGUUGUAAAGUACUUUCAGUCGUGAGGAAGGUGUUAAGGUUAAUAACCUUAGCAAUUGACGUUAGCGACAGAAGAAGCACCGGCUAACUCCGUGCCAGCAGCCGCGGUAAUACGGAGGGUGCGAGCGUUAAUCGGAAUUACUGGGCGUAAAGGGCACGCAGGCGGUUAAUUAAGUUGGAUGUGAAAUCCCCGGGCUUAACCUGGGAAUGGCAUUCAAGACUGGUUAGCUAGAGUCUUGUAGAGGGGGUAGAAUUCCAUGUGUAGCGGUGAAAUGCGUAGAGAUGUGGAGGAAUACCGGUGGCGAAGGCGGCCCCUGGACAAAGACUGACGCUCAUGUGCGAAAGCGUGGGGAGCAAACAGGGAUUAGA